rnacentral:rRNA from 1 species
UACAGAGGGGGCAAGCGUUGUUCGGAAUUACUGGGCGUAAAGGGCGCGUAGGCGGCCUGCUAAGUCGAACGUGAAAUCCCCGGGCUCAACCCGGGAACUGCGUCCGAUACUGGGAAGCUUGAAUCCGGGAGAGGGAUGUGGAAUUCCAGGGUGUAGCGGUGAAAUGCGUAGAUAUCUGGAGGAACACCGGGUGGCGAAGGCGGCAUCCUGGGACCGGUAUUGGACGCUGAGGCGCGAAAAGCCCAGGGGGAGCAAACGGGG